rnacentral:rRNA from 1 species
CUGACCGUAAACGAUGCCAACUAGCGAUCCGCCGGUGGCUCUCAGGCCCUGGUGGGGAGCUUCCCGGAAACGAAAGUCUUCCGGUUCCGGGGGAAGUAUGGUUGCAAAGCUGAAACUUAAAGGAAUUGACGGAAGGGCACCACCAGGAGUGGAGCCUGCGGCUUAAUUUGACUCAACACGGGAAAACUCACCCGGCCCGGACACCGUAAGGAUUGACAGAUUGAUAGCUUUUUCAUGAUUCGGUGGUUGGUGGUGCAUGGCCGUUCUUAGUUCGUGGAUCGAUUUGUCUGGUUUAUUCCGAUAACGAGCGAGACUCCAGCCUACUAAAUAGUGCGGACAUUGCCUUUGUGUUUGUCACUUCUUAGAGGGAUUGGCUGCGUCUAGCGGCACGAAACGGAGCAAUAACAGGUCUGUGAUGCCCUUAGAUGUCCGGGGCUGCACGCGCGCUACACUGGCAAAGGCAGCGUGCUUGUCCGUCUCCGAAAGGAGCCGGUAAACCCUUGAAAAUUUGCCGUGAUUGGGAUCGGAAAUUGCAAUUAUUUUCCGUGAACGAGGAAUUCCUAGUAAGUGCGAGUCAUCAGCUCGCGUUG